rnacentral:rRNA from 1 species
GGACAUGACUCUCGAUAAUGGAUAUCUCAGCUCUCACAUCAAUGAAAAGCGUAGAAAAAUGUGAUAUGUGGUGCGAAUUAUAGAAUCCCGUGAACCAUUGAGUCUUUGAAUGCAAGUUACGCUCAAGGUCAGCUGACCGAGGGUACGUCCCCCUGGGCAUCAAG